rnacentral:rRNA from 1 species
CCUACGGGGGGCUGCAGUGAGGAAUAUUGGUCAAUGGGCGGAAGCCUGAACCAGCCAAGUAGCGUGCAGGAUGACGGCCCUACGGGUUGUAAACUGCUUUUAUACGGGAAUAACGCGCCUUACGUGUAGGGCUUUGCAUGUACCUUAUGAAUAAGGGCAGGCUAAUUCCGUGCCAGCAGCCGCGGUAAUACGGAAGGUCCGGGCGUUACCCGGAUUGAUUGGGUUUAAAGGGAGCGUAGGCCGCAGGGCAAGCGUGCUGUGAAAUGGCCGGGCUUAACCCGGGCCUUGCAGCGCGAACUGGCGUGCUUGAGUCCGCGGAAAGCAGGCGGAAUUCGUCGUGUAGCGGUGAAAUGCUUAGAUAUGACGAAGAACCCCGAUUGCGAAGGCAGCUUGCUGCAGCGGAACUGACGCUGAUGCUCGAAAGCGCGGGUAUCGAACAGGAUUAGAUACCCUGGUAGUC